UCUUUUUAAUAGCCUUCUCAGAAGCAGCCUAAAGAAGAUGGCCUUUUCCUCCUGCAGUCCCAUGGAUGGCAGAUAAAGUGGAUUCUCAGCACAGAGGCCUCAGAGGAGAAGUGCCUUCUACAGUGUAGGUGUACAGCAAGCAUGGAAUGAAUAUUGCAAUUGGGUAGAAGCAGAGCUAAAGAAGGAAUAAGGCCUGGAGCUCACUCUGCCUGUGUCCGAGAACACCUUGAAACGUUCUCUACAUGGAUUUCACUCACAUUACACAUCCUCCCUUUGGAGGGACAGCAUCGUGCCAUGAUAGGUUUCUCCCAAUUCACUCAUGCUUCAUAUGCAGACAGGAGGAAGCAUAAUUCCAAGAAAAGGAGAGAAAAUAAUAAUAUUAAAUGGCUGCCAAGGGAUCUGAGCAAUGGAUUCAACAGGCUGGAUCAGUUCAGCUCACCAGUGUGGCCCUUCCCUAACUGGGAUCCUGGGCCCACCACAUGCUACUUUACUGCCUGAAAGAGGCGAUGACACAAUUUAGUGUUAGAGUGUUAGUGUUCUGCCUCAUCGAAGACAUGGCAUUGUCAUUUUUCAUUUUGGGGAACAGCUUGCAGUACAGAAAGAAAUCAUGUCAGACAGAAAAGGGGAGUCUUUCAACAUAGCAUUCCAUCCUGAGGGAGAAAAAAAACAGAACAAGUGGGCAGUACUGACAUCUGAUUCCAUCCUCCAAUGGCAACACAUAUGCUGAGCCCCAGCCAUCAUCCUCUGCCCAGAGAAGAAGCAGCAAUGGGAAAGUGACAUUUUACAUUAUUCAGUGAUUUCCAAUUUGCAAACUUCUUUAACACAUCUUAUCUCAUCAUCUCCAUAAUUAAUCAUGAAGAAGGCAGGGUAGCUACAGUUAUUUUCAUUUUACAAACAAGGAUUCUGAGACUUUGCAAG